AAGCACCGCCCAUUAAUGAAGGCUGCUGUUAGACAGACAUGUUUACUAUGGGCUGCUAUGGGCACUUGGCACAGACUGCUGAAGUUGACGUCAGAGAUUGAAGAGCCGAGAUGAUCCGAGAUUUAUCGAAUAAUUCCGAGUGGCACAUGAAACACAACAGAGAGCGGAAGGAAUUUCUGAAUAUCCAUAGACCGUGUUCGGCUCUAUUGCGACUUCCACCUUGAUUGUCGAGAGUAUAAAGGAUAGUAAGAGCUCGUAUAAAUAAACGUGCCUUAUAAUUUAUUCAAUACUCGUUUAAUAAAGGGCAGGAGACGCUUACGCGCACUACGCAAUUGAAAAAUCGUUACGAGCCACGCGAUUCUGAAAUUUUGAUGAGGUGUGCUAUUUCUGACGAGCUCCUACGUCAAAAUACACCCCACGAAUAUGACUCUAUUACAAUUGGCUUCGCUACAAUUUUUCCCAGAUCAGUUAGAGGGCAUAUUUCAUUUAUACUUACUGAUUCACUUGUUCACUUUUUACGCAAUAAUUAUGCUUAUUCACUGAUUGUUUUGGUUAGAGAUAUAAUAACAAAUCGUUCAAGUAUAUAAUAUCAUUUAUGCAGCACGGGUUCUAUAUUCAAUGUUCAAACCUAUCCUACUUGACUGAGGCUCAUCAAGUGCGAUGCGACUUGGAAUUUAAAAUUUCACUGUAGAAUAAAUUAUCGGAAGUAGAGUCAGAAGGAUUUCCUGUACGUUAUAACGUCGAUUAAAUUUUUAAAAGAAGAUUGGUGAUGCAUACAGGAACUUUUUUACAUGAUUGAAAAUUUCCAGUGAAUUGUUUACAAAACUGUGAAUGCUGCGCAUAAUAAUUAUUGUUAUUAUCGUCACAUAUAUUGGAUGGAUAUUAAAAAUAAUAGCUCGCUUUAUUAGUCCUAUACAUAUACCUAAUUAUAUUAAAUUCAAGUGAACUUUUCACCGCCACUUUGCUUUUUUGAUCACAUACUCGUAUAAUAUAAUAUGUUCAUGUAUUUAUGCUUAUGUGCGUUGAACAUCAAGCGAUUAUUGCAAAGCAAACAAACGAGCAAUUAAAUUGACCGUUGAUUAACAGUUCUUGUUACACCUAUUAUAACUGUGAUGUACCUAUAAUGGCCUAAAACGGCAGUCAUUGGCAUAUAACGUCACAAAACUGGCGCUAAAUUUUAUAUUCAUAGACACGUUCCACGCAUAAAUAUAUCAUACGCCCAUACUUCGUUAAAACUGUUAAAAGUGAAACGUAGAAGAAACAAAAAAGAUCAAAGAAAAAUAGCGAUAAUAAAACCAGAAGAUCUGAAAAUCAAUACGAAUAAAAA